UACGUAGGAGACGAGCGUUGUCCGGAGUUACUGGGCGUAAAGGGCGCGUAGGCGCCUUCUAAGUCGAACGUGAAAUCCCCGGGCUCAACCCGGGAACUGCGUCCGAUACUGGAAGGCUUGAAUCCGGGAGAGGGAUGCGGAAUUCCAGGUGUAGCGGUGAAAUGCGUAGAUAUCUGGAGGAACACCGGUGGCGAAGGCGGCAUCCUGGACCGGCAUUGACGCUGAGGCGCGAAAAGCCAGGGGAGCAAAGCGGG
rnacentral:rRNA from 1 species